AACAUCCUACGGGACGCAGCAGUGAGGAAUAUUGGUCAAUGGGCGCGAGCCUGAACCAGCCAAGUCGCGUGAGGGAAGACGGUCCUAUGGAUUGUAAACCUCUUUUGUCGGGGAGCAAAAGACGCCACGCGUGGCGUUCCGAGAGUACCCGAAGAAAAAGCAUCGGCUAACUCCGUGCCAGCAGCCGCGGUAAUACGGAGGAUGCGAGCGUUAUCCGGAUUUAUUGGGUUUAAAGGGUGCGUAGGCGGAGUGUCAAGUCAGCGGUAAAAUUUCGGGGCUCAACUCCGUCGUGCCGUUGAAACUGA
rnacentral:rRNA from 1 species